UCCGAGAAGUGGUCAUUCGCUGUAAAGCUUUAAAACUAUACAGAGGAAAGUCCGGACAUCAUAGGACAGGAUUCCUUGCGAAAGCGAGGGGUGCUUGCUUACAGGCAAGUUCACGGCUAGUGCAACAGAAAAUAAACCGCUCGUGCUCACGAGUAAGGGUGAAAUGGUGGGGUAAGAGCUCACCGCCACGAGGGUAACUUAGUGGGCAUUGUAAACCCAAUCCGAUGCAAGGCGAAAUAGGGAACCAGGUGGUCCGCCUAAUGGUUUCGGGUACGUCGCAUCUCCAUGUUGGAGGAUCUUCGAAAGAGGAUAGAUAAAUGAAUGACAAUUCGAAAAAUCGAAUUACAGAAUCCGGCUUACAUCUUCUCGGAAUUU
rnacentral:RNase_P_RNA from 1 species